rnacentral:rRNA from 1 species
UUAAGCGACUAAGCGUACACGGUGGAUGCCCUGGCAGUCAGAGGCGAUGAAGGACGUGCUAAUCUGCGAUAAGCGUCGGUAAGGUGAUAUGAACCGUUAUAACCGGCGAUUUCCGAAUGGGGAAACCCAGUGUGAUUCGUCACACUAUCAUUAACUGAAUCCAUAGGUUAAUGAGGCGAACCGGGGGAACUGAAACAUCUAAGUACCCCGAGGAAAAGAAAUCAACCGAGAUUCCCCCAGUAGCGGCGAGCGAACGGGGAGCAGCCCAGAGCCUGAAUCAGUGUGUGUGUUAGUGGAAGCGUCUGGAAAGGCGCGCGAUACAGGGUGACAGCCCCGUACACAAAAAUGCACAUAUUGUGAGCUCGAUGAGUAGGGCGGGACACGUGGUAUCCUGUCUGAAUAUGGGGGGGACCAUCCUCCAAGGCUAAAUACUCCUGACUGACCGAUAGUGAACCAGUACCGUGAGGGAAAGGCGAAAAGAACCCCGGCGAGGGGAGUGAAAAAGAACCUGAAACCGUGUACGUACAAGCAGUGGGAGCACGCUCAGGCGUGUGACUGCGUACCUUUUGUAUAAUGGGUCAGCGACUUAUAUUCUGUAGCAAGGUUAACCGAAUAGGGGAGCCGAAGGGAAACCGAGUCUUAACUGGGCGUUAAGUUGCAGGGUAUAGACCCGAAACCCGGUGAUCUAGCCAUGGGCAGGUUGAAGGUUGGGUAACACUAACUGGAGGACCGAACCGACUAAUGUUGAAAAAUUAGCGGAUGACUUGUGGCUGGGGGUGAAAGGCCAAUCAAACCGGGAGAUAGCUGGUUCUCCCCGAAAGCUAUUUAGGUAGCGCCUCGUGAAUUCAUCUCCGGGGGUAGAGCACUGUUUCGGCAAGGGGGUCAUCCCGACUUACCAACCCGAUGCAAACUGCGAAUACCGGAGAAUGUUAUCACGGGAGACACACGGCGGGUGCUAACGUCCGUCGUGAAGAGGGAAACAACCCAGACCGCCAGCUAAGGUCCCAAAGUCAUGGUUAAGUGGGAAACGAUGUGGGAAGGCCCAGACAGCCAGGAUGUUGGCUUAGAAGCAGCCAUCAUUUAAAGAAAGCGUAAUAGCUCACUGGUCGAGUCGGCCUGCGCGGAAGAUGUAACGGGGCUAAACCAUGCACCGAAGCUGCGGCAGCGACGCUUAUGCGUUGUUGGGUAGGGGAGCGUUCUGUAAGCCUGCGAAGGUGUGCUGUGAGGCAUGCUGGAGGUAUCAGAAGUGCGAUUGCUGACAUAAGUAACGAUAAAGCGGGUGAAAAGCCCGCUCGCCGGAAGACCAAGGGUUCCUGUCCAACGUUAAUCGGGGCAGGGUGAGUCGACCCCUAAGGCGAGGCCGAAAGGCGUAGUCGAUGGGAAACAGGUUAAUAUUCCUGUACUUGGUGUUACUGCGAAGGGGGGACGGAGAAGGCUAUGUUGGCCGGGCGACGGUUGUCCCGGUUUAAGCGUGUAGGCUGGUUUUCCAGGCAAAUCCGGAAAAUCAAGGCUGAGGCGUGAUGACGAGGCACUACGGUGCUGAAGCAACAAAUGCCCUGCUUCCAGGAAAAGCCUCUAAGCAUCAGGUAACAUCAAAUCGUACCCCAAACCGACACAGGUGGUCAGGUAGAGAAUACCAAGGCGCUUGAGAGAACUCGGGUGAAGGAACUAGGCAAAAUGGUGCCGUAACUUCGGGAGAAGGCACGCUGAUAUGUAGGUGAAGUCCCUCGCGGAUGGAGCUGAAUCAGUCGAAGAUACCAGCUGGCUGCAACUGUUUAUUAAAAACACAGCACUGUGCAAACACGAAAGUGGACGUAUACGGUGUGACGCCUGCCCGGUGCCGGAAGGUUAAUUGAUGGGGUAGCGCAAGCGAAGCUCUUGAUCGAAGCCCCGGUAAACGGCGGCCGUAACUAUAACGGUCCUAAGGUAGCGAAAUUCCUUGUCGGGUAAGUUCCGACCUGCACGAAUGGCGUAAUGAUGGCCAGGCUGUCUCCACCCGAGACUCAGUGAAAUUGAACUCGCUGUGAAGAUGCAGUGUACCCGCGGCAAGACGGAAAGACCCCGUGAACCUUUACUAUAGCUUGACACUGAACAUUGAGCCUUGAUGUGUAGGAUAGGUGGGAGGCUUUGAAGUGUGGACGCCAGUCUGCAUGGAGCCGACCUUGAAAUACCACCCUUUAAUGUUUGAUGUUCUAACGUGGACCCGUAAUCCGGGUUGCGGACAGUGUCUGGUGGGUAGUUUGACUGGGGCGGUCUCCUCCUAAAGAGUAACGGAGGAGCACGAAGGUUGGCUAAUCCUGGUCGGACAU